rnacentral:tRNA from 1 species
AUUUAGCUGACCUUACUAAUAGAAUGUGGUGUAUAAGGUAGCACGAAGAAUUUUGAGUUCUUAGGAUUAGGUUCAAGUCCUAUGAUUCUA